rnacentral:lncRNA from 1 species
AGUUGUUACUGUAUACUUUGUGUAUUUAUUUUUUUGGGGGGUGGGGGUGAUGCAGUCUCACUCUGUUGCCCAGGCUAGAGUGCUGUGGUACGAUCUUGGCUUACCGCAACCUCUGCCUUCCGGAUUCAAGUGAUUCUCCUGCCUCAGCCUCCCAAGUAACUGGGAUUACAGAUGCGCACCACCACACCCAGCUAAUUUCUGUAUUUUCUUUAGAGAUCGGGGGGAGUCUCACCAUGUUGGCCAGGCUGGUCUCGAACUCCUGACCUCAGGUGAUCCACCCACUUUGGCCUCCCAAAGUGCUGGGAUUACAGGUGUGAGCCACCACACCCAGCCAAAAGUUAUUACUGUGUUUUACUCCUUAAAACACCACAUCCCCAUGUAGCAAAAUUAAUCCCAAACACAUUAGCUCUUCAGAAAGGAUACAAUUUAUUCAUAAAAAGUAGAAUAAAUGUUAGUUUAAAAAAAAACGAGUAGGAAGUAAAUAUUUUAUUCUAGUAUAUGUCCUAAGACUAUAGAUUACCAACACCAACACCAAAAUGUCCUUACCUUUAAUUCCAUCUCAAGUAAACAGCAUCUCCAUUUUACCAGCUGCCUAAGCCAAAAACUUGGGGUGAUCUUUGAUUCUUCUCUUUUUCUCACACUUCACAUCCAGUCCAUCAGUAAAUCUUGUAGGCUCUACUUAAGUACAUAUUCAGAAUCUGACUUCUUCCCACCACCCCCACUGCUACCACUCUAGUCCAACCAGUAGCAUCUAUCCCUGAACUAUUCUCAUUGUCUUGGAAUUACUCAUCUUACCUCAGCUUUUGCCCCUCUACACAGGAGCUAGUGAUUAUUCUAAAAUAUAAGUCUCAUUAUGUUAUUCUCUACUCAAAACAAUCUUACUUCCUAUCUCUGUCAGAAUGAAAUUCACUCUUUAACAUAACUUACAACACCCUAUUUAUUCCAGAAGCGCUGGAAUUAUCUGGACAGAUGUUGAUGAGAUUCUUUCAGUGAAAGAAAGUAGAGAGGAGUUAAACUAGCAAAUCAUGAAUGUCCUUUUCUAUGGCAGAUUCUAUGAAUCUCAAACUAAGACAACAUGUGGUAACAAACUGAACGCAGGAGUUUACAAGACUUGCAAAAUGUAAAACAAUGUGACUUGUCACACUAAUUCCUGUAACUAUAAUUCUAAGCAGCAAAACUGCCAAAGCAGGUAAGAGCAUAGGCUCUGACAGCAGACAACAGCAUUGUAUCCACUCUGCCAUUUAUUAGUUCUGGACACUUGGGUCAUAUAUUUUAACCUCAAAUGUGCCUGUGCCUCAGUUUACUCUACUGUAAAAUGGGCAUAAGUAUCUGUCCUAUAAGGAUGUUGUGGCUUUGCAGUUUAUGGGAUCUAUUAGGAAGAUGCUCCCAGAGGGGUCAAAUGUUCCCAGCAGUGGCAUGGCAGAGCACCAAUGAUGGCAGAUGCUCAGAUAUACUGGCUGGGCUCGGUGGCUCACGCCUGUAAUCCCAGCACUUUGGGAGGCCAAGGCGGGCAGAUCAUGAGGUCAGGAGUUCGAGACCAGCCUGGCCAACAUAGUGAAACCCCGUCUCUACUAAAAAUACAAAAAAUUAGCCAGGCUUGGUGGCGGGCGCCUGUAAUCCUAGCUACUCGAGAGGCUGAGGCAGGAGAAUCGCUUGAACCAGAGAGGCAGAGGUUGCAGCGAGCGGAGAUCGCACCACUGCACACCACCCCGGGUGACAGAGCGAGACUCCAUCUCAAAAAAAAAAAAAAAAAACCAUAACCCAAGACAUUAAUGUUAUUAAUUAAAACACUGCCAGUAUCUAAAGGCAUCUUAAUUGG